rnacentral:rRNA from 1 species
CACGGGGGGAGCAAGCGUUGUUCAGAAUCACUGGGCGUAAAGAGCGUGUAGGCGGCUCGAUAAGUCCGCUGUGAAAGUCCAGGGCUCAACCCUGGGAUGCCGGUGGAUACUGUCGGGCUAGAGUCCGGAAGAGGCGAGUGGAAUUCCUGGUGUAGCGGUGAAAUGCGCAGAUAUCAGGAAGAACACCCGUGGCUAAGGCGGCUCUCUAGUACGGUACUGACGCUGAGACGCGAAAGCGUGGGGAGCGAACAGG